rnacentral:misc_RNA from 1 species
GUUUAGACCCACGGCGAACGGGUGAGUAAUACCUAGGAACUUUCCUUAAGUGGAGCAUAACCAGUCGAAAGAUUGGAUAAUACUCCAUGUGGCCGCAAGGCUAAAGUCGCAAGACGCUUAAGGUGAGGCCUGGGCACCAUCAGCUAGUUGGUAAGGUAACGGCUUACCAAGGCUAUGACGGUUAGGGGUCCCGAGAGGGAUAACCCCCACACUGGGACUGCGACACGGCCCAGACUCCUACGGGAGGCAGCAGUGGGAUCUUGGGAAAAACUCGAGCCUACCGGAGAUAGGGG